rnacentral:rRNA from 1 species
CACGUAGGGUGCGAGCGUUGUCCGGAAUUAUUGGGCGUAAAGAGCUCGUAGGCGGUGUGUCGCGUCGGCCGUGAAAACUUGGGGCUUAACUCUGAGCGUGCGGUCGAUACGGGCAUCACUUGAGUUCGGCAGGGGAGACUGGAAUUCCUGGUGUAGCGGUGAAAUGCGCAGAUAUCAGGAGGAACACCGGUGGCGAAGGCGGGUCUCGUGGGC